AAUGCGCUGCUUGAUGAAUUCAUUCUCCUGUGGUGUCUCCAGGGACACGGCAUCCAUGCAGUGACGACGGCAGAUGUUUCUUGCAUCAAGCCAGUCUACCUCCAAGCUGCGAGUUGGCUACAAAAGAUUGACGGCUCAAGAUGAACCAAAAACAGCACCAAAAAGCAAAUCUCCGCUGAUGCGACAACACAAAGAGCGGUGUCCAGCCGAAAAUGAGAAAAUUGAUGCAGAUGGAUAUGUCUAGAUUUAACUGAUGGAUCCAUCAGUCAGAGUACACGAAGAGGAGAAAAAAGUGUUUUGCAAUUGUGUAAUAGGAGUCAUGUGAUCAUUGCUGAAUGGAAGAUUACAAUCUAGAAGAAGAUGGUCAAAUUUAGGUAAAGCUGAGAGAAAAAAAGAGAUUCCUUGCAGCAUCCGUUACUUAUAAAUUGGCGAAAUUGACAGAGUAGCAAAGAAAGAGGGGAAAGAAACUCUCUUGCUAAUUGGUACGGUUUUGAUUUCACUCCAAUUGAUCCUAUCAUUCUCUUCCUACAUAUGGCCCCCUGAAAGGAGAGCAAAAGAUAUCUUAUGCUCUUAAUACUUCAUCAAUUUUCAACCACAUGCUGUGCGGGAAGUUUACAAAAUUAAACAGAGCUCUUUUUGGCGCGAAAGUUUUCAAGCAUGGCAGCUCAACAAAAGACGCUAUUUUCACUCGUAUUAUGGUCCCUUCCAAAUUCAAUAUCGUCAAUACAUAAUUGAAAAUUCAAAGCAAAUCCAUAUAUUGAGGGGAUAAUCAUUUCUUAAACAUUUGUUUUUUAUUUUUAUUUUAUUGAACUUUCAAUAUUUUUUAGC